AAAAGCUUUAGUCAAAAAUAAAUCCAAAGGCCACAAGCCAAAAAAAUCAUUAGCAUUUAAAUGCGAUGAAAUUAUGACAUUUAUCAACGAUGCACCAAAUUAUAUCCACCUGGCUUCUAAGGUUAUUCUCAUCUUUGGUGUCUGUGGAGCUUUGAGGUGUGAUGAGCUAACUAAAAUUACCCUGGCAGAUCUGAAAUACCGUAGAAUUACGGUAUUAUACGGUAAAAAUACGGUCGAUAUACCGUAUGGCCGCCGUAGAUUACAGUAGCAUUCUACUUGCACGGUAGAAACAGUAAAACACCGUAACGUACAGUAAAGAA